rnacentral:other from 1 species
UAAACCCUACAAUGUACGUGUUAUGCCGGAUGUUUUGAGCCAACACCAACACAUAGGGAGCUUCGGCUCUGGGUGUGGCUUAUAUGCCCGGAAGGGACAUAAAAAGCAUCCAGGAGAGCACCCACCUGUCUGCGCACAGGUUCUCAAACUCCGGUUGACCCACGGCAUUUGUGGGGCUCUG